rnacentral:rRNA from 1 species
AAUAUUGGACAAUGGGCGAAAGCCUGAUCCAGCCAUGCCGCGUGUGUGAAGAAGGUCUUCGGAUUGUAAAGCACUUUAAGUUGGGAGGAAGGGUUGUAGGUUAAUACCCUGCAAUUUUGACGUUACCAACAGAAUAAGCACCGGCUAACUUCGUGCCAGCAGCCGCGGUAAUACGAAGGGUGCAAGCGUUAAUCGGAAUUACUGGGCGUAAAGCGCGCGUAGGUGGUUCGGUAAGUUAGAUGUGAAAUCCCAGGGCUCAACCUUGGAACUGCAUUUUUAACUGACGAGCUAGAGUAUGUUAGAGGGUGGUGGAAUUCCAUGUGUAGCGGUGAAAUGCGUAGAUAUAUGAAGGAAUACCAAUGGCGAAGGCGACCCCCUGGGAUGAUACUGACACUGAGGCGCGAAAGCGUGGGGUGCAAACAGG